rnacentral:rRNA from 1 species
CCUACGGGAGGCAGCAGUGAGGAAUAUUGGUCAAUGGACGAGAGUCUGAACCAGCCAAGUAGCGUGAAGGAUGACUGCCAUAUGGGUUGUAAACUUCUUUUAUAAAGGAAUAAAACGAGGCACGUGUGCCUUUUUGCAUGUACUUUAUGAAUAAGGAUCGGCUAACUCCGUGCCAGCAGCCGCGGUAAUACGGAGGAUCCGAGCGUUAUCCGGAUUUAUUGGGUUUAAAGGGAGCGUAGAUGGGUUGUUAAGUCAGUUGUGAAAUUUUGCGGCUCAACCGUAAAAUUGCAAUUGAUACUGGCAGUCUUGAGUACAGUUGAGGUAGGCGGAAUUCGUGGUGUAGCGGUGAAAUGCUUAGAUAUCACGAAGAACCCCGAUUGCGAAGGCAGCUUACUAAACUGUGACUGACAUUGAUGCUCGAAAGUGUGGGUAUCAAACAGGAUUAGAUACCCUAGUAGUC